GUGCCAUGCGGUCAGCUUGCUACUGCAGUGCCUUCCCUCUUUGUUUGUGCCUUGGAGAGCAUCGCUUUGCAUCAGAACAGUCCCAUGGUGCAGUUGGACAGCCAUUUACCCUAGCUGACAUCAGUUUCCCAGACGAAGGGGAGGCGUUUCUGGCCGGAAACUAGCCAAAGAUCUUGCAAGAGUAUACAGGACAUUAAUGGAGAUGACAUCCUAAGAGACCUGCAAAAAUCUACUAUGGGCAUAUACGUAUUCAACCAGGAGGGUGCAGAAACUGCACAUUAUGAUGAUAUUGGCAUUCAUGUUGAAGGAGCAGUCAUUCUGCAAAACAUUGGAUCUGUACCCCAAGCUUGUAAAAUGAUGCUCGGAGUCAUUUAUGCACUGAACAUGGCUUACCGCAAAAAUCUGAAGUAUUACUAUGAAUUCACUUAGAAAGUGCUCUUUCGGAUGGAUGGUGAAACACUGUCCCCCAAAAUCCUUGGACUAAAGAACAAAAUCAGUGCUGCACUGUAAGAUUUUGUCAGCCGCACCCUGUAAAGCUGCAGUGGUGUGUUUUUUUUUUUUGUUGGGGAGUAAGAAAGAACACAUACAAUGACGUGAAUUGUGAAAUGCAGUUUCAGAUGAUCUUUUAAAUUGAUGAACAAAUUGAAAAAAGAACAUUUAAAGAUGUACUAGGGAUUUUGUGGAUUAUUCAUUAGAAAUGAAAAUUGCAACCCUUGACAAAGGUGCUUGUUUUUGUCAGAAACUGGGUAGUAUAUUCUCUAUUUUCAUUACACCUAAUGCAUGUUAUACUUUCUGGAAGAAAUUGUACUGUAUGUUUUCUGGAGUCUUGGUUGAUUAGACUUCA